UACGUAGGGGGCGAGCGUUGUCCGGAUUUAUUGGGCGUAAAGAGCGUGUAGGCGGUUCGGUAAGUCCGCUGUGAAAGUCGGGGGCUCAACCCUCGGAUGCCGGUGGAUACUGUCGGGCUUGAGUACGGAAGAGGCGAGUGGAAUUCCUGGUGUAGCGGUGAAAUGCGCAGAUAUCAGGAGGAACACCAAUUGCGAAGGCAGCUCGCUGGGACGUUACUGACGCUGAGACGCGAAAGCGUGGGGAGCAAACAGG
rnacentral:rRNA from 1 species